rnacentral:rRNA from 1 species
UACGAAGGGUGCAAGCGUUACUCGGAAUUACUGGGCGUAAAGCGUGCGUAGGUGGUUUGUUAAGUCUGUUGUGAAAGCCCCGGGCUCAACCUGGGAAUGGCAAUGGAUACUGGCAAGCUAGAGUGCGGUAGAGGGUAGUGGAAUUCCCGGUGUAGCGGUGAAAUGCGUAGAGAUCGGGAGGAACACCCGUGGCGAAAGCGGCUCUCUGGAACGGUACUGACGCUGAGACGCGAAAGCGUGGGGAGCGAACAGG